rnacentral:rRNA from 1 species
UGCGUAGGCGGCGCAGCAAGUCGGGUGUGAAAUCCCCCAGCUCAACUGGGGAAUUGCGCCCGAAACUGCUGUGCUAGAGGAAUAUAGAGGUGAGCGGAACUUAGGGUGGAGCGGUGAAAUGCGUUGAUAUCCUAGGGAACACCGGUGGCGAAAGCGGCUCACUGGGUAUUCUCUGACGCUGAGGCAGAAAGCUAGGGGACGAACG